GUCAACAACCCACUAAGCCCUUGGGGACUUAGCGGCUUUUCAUCUUAGGAUUUUAAGCCCAGUUGACCAAGCUAGGUGUUCACUCAUAGGCACUCUGCGAUGCUUCGCCAGUCGCGGACUCUGCG
rnacentral:sRNA from 17 species